rnacentral:lncRNA from 1 species
ACACACGGCACAAGAUGGCCGGAGAGGCAGCAGCACCCCGAGCUGUCAGGCGUUCCGCCGCGGCCGCGAGGCCCGCCGGCCGGCGGGGAGCUACGCCCGGACGGCCAGCAGGCCCGCGGGAGUGGGGCUGCCGCGGCUGAGGCGAGGCGGGCCGCGCGCGUCGGCGUCACAGCCCGCGGCAGAGGCGCCCAGGGCGGCCGGGCCCACGACGCCGAAAGCGCCGCUGCGGUUGCCGCCUCGGAGGCUCCCCCGGGCCCCGGCGGCUGGACCCGGCGCGGGCGGGAGGCUCGGGCGGGCGGUCCGGCCCGGGACUCGGGUUUGGGCGACCAGGAGGUGCCGGUGGCCGCGCUCGGACCCGGUGACUUAAGAGAUUAAAAUUAAUUUGGUUGCUGUUGGUUCUGAACAAAUAAUGAGUUCUUUUAUUUGAGGUAUGCCAUUUUGAAGACUGAGACGUUGGAGUUUUAUCCUAGAGGAUAAAGGAAAUCUUUGGGAAAGUCAGUAUUUUAUAUAGCAAAUUUGAUUGUGGAGCGGCAUAAGGGGGAGAAAGAUAAGUUGAGGACGUCUCUUUAUCUUUUGUUAAUCAGAGGUGGUGAUAGAGUGGAAAAUAUAACACGUUUCGGCAUUCAGGAGACCUACCUUCCAAUAAAUAUGAACCUCAAACUGAAUCCUCUAAAGGCCCCAUACAAUGAAGUAGACAUUGGUGGAAACAUUUAGUAAGUAUUAUUCAAUUUACAUGUUUAAUCUGUUUAGAAAUUUUAAAUACUACUUUGGAAAUUUUGAAAAUUCGAGUCAGAAUUGUAAAGAGGGAUUUAGUGAAACUCAACACAGUACAAGAAAAUCAACAUGGAAAUUUCGCUUAUUAAUUUACUCCAAUCUAUUAUUUUCUGCUUUCUUCACUUAGGCAAGUUAAAAUGCAAACAAACCCACAUUUGAACAUACCUCUAACACUAUUAUAAACAUGGAUGUUGCUAAAUGGUUCCUCUUUGUUUUUGUAAAUAAAGUUUUAUUGCAGCACAGCUAUACGCUUUCAUUUAGUUAUUGUUUGCCGCUGCUUUCUCAGUAUAUAGCAGCAGCAAGCAGAGGAGUUCUAUUGAAUGGCCUACAAAGCCUAAAAUAUUUCCUGUCUCAUCUGUAGGGAAAGUUUAUCCUAGGUCCUACAGCUUUUCCUUUUGUCAGCAUUGCCUUAACCUGUAUAGAACUCAGAAGCCCUUCGGUUCUCUUUUGGUAAUAGAACAUAAUUUUUAAUGAUUUCCAAUAUUAUAAUUACUUUUAAUUAAUUAAUUUUGAAGUUAAACUUGAAAGCCCAACAAAAAGUUCUUUAGCCUGAUUGUCCCUGAAGUUAUGCUUUGAUGUUAGAAGACAUGGUUAGCACCUCUGAAAUAGUUUUUCUAACAGCCUGAAAAAUAGUUGGAAAGAGUUGAUGGGAAGGUUGUAUAAAUGAAUUUUGGUGAAUUCUCAACAUGAUUUAUUUAUUUUUAUUUUAUUUUUCGAGACAGAGUUCCACUGUCACCCAUGCUGGAGUGCAGUGUCAUGAUCUUGACUCAUCGCAACCUCCGCCUCUGGGGCUCAAGCGAUUCUCCUGCUUCAGCCUCCAGUGUAGCUGGGAUUACAGUCACGCACCACCAUUCCCAGCUAAUUUUUGUAUUUUUAGUAGAGAUGGGGUUUCCCCAUGUUGGCCAGGCUGGUCUCGAACUCCUGACCUCAGGUGAUCCACACGCCUCAGCCUCCCAAAGUGCUAGGAUUACAGGUGUGAGCCACCGCACCUGGCCAACAUGAUUUAUUAUUGACAACCUUUUUGGUAAUUAUAUAUUAGCUACUUCAUAAAAAUAAUUUUUUUGAAUCAUAUUUGGGAAUCUAGAUUUUAGAUGAUAAUUUUUGCCUAUGGCUACUUUAGCUUGCGUUGUGUAAAUGGCUGCUAGGGCCUGCGAAAUAGAUUUUAUUUUUGGAGGGGGAUUUGUUUUUCAAUACAGGAUGAUGAAAGAGAUGAAAACUUUUCUAAUAUAGUACAAUAAUUGGCUGUGGUCAUUUUAAAGGGAUCAGUUGCAUAGCAUAUAGUAGAUGCUCAAUAAAUACUUAGUGUAUCAAUAUGGCUUCUGUUAAACAUUGUUUAUCAGCUAGUGUUUUGGAUUUAAUUUAAAAACAGUGACAUUGACUAUUAAAACAUGUUUUAAUGAAUUAAAUAUAAAAUUGUAGGUAUGCCUGAAAGCCAAAGUUUUGACCAAGUAAAAAUUAAAAGUGACAAGAUUUCAUUUUUUCUCUGCAAUUCUCAAUCUCUUAGUUUGCAUAUAUAGUCAACUUUUAAACCAUUGAGGACGGUACCGGAAUAUUUGAUUUGAUUGUAAACCUUAAAUAAGAUGACUCCUUUUCUUAGUUGUCACAAUUGACAUUAAUUUUAUAGUUAGUUUUUAUGCCCAUAAGACCCAGACUUGUUAAUAUAUAUUCUACUGAAGAUUCAAGGUAUCUUGGUAAUAAGUCAACAUAUGUGAAUUUACUUCUCAGGGCUUCCUUUUUUUUUUUUUUUCCCCUGAGACGGAGUUUCACUCUUGUUGCACAGGAUGGAGUGUGGUGGCGCGAUCUCAGCUCACUGCAACCCCUGCCUCCCGGGUUCAAUUGAUUCUCCUGCCUCAGCCUCCCCAGUAGCUGGGAUUACAGGCAUGUGCCACCACGCCCAGCUAAUUUUUGUAUUUUUAGUAGAGAUGGGGUUUCACCAUGUUGACCAGGUUGGUCUCGAACUCCUGACCUCAGGGGAUGUGCUGGCCUUGGCCUCCCUAAGUGAUAGGAUUACAGGUGUGAGCCACCGCACCCAGCCUCUCAGGGCUUUCUUGCAUAAAUAUUUCCACAUUUAAAGACAGUAGACGAAGAUUGAAAUCAUCAUAAGCACCAAGAAUGUUAAUUACAUGAUGAGAAGGAUGAAUUUUUGCUCUAGGUAAUUUUACACCUGUUUGUCCCAUCAUUGACUUUGAAAUAAGUGUUUUAAGUUUUAAAAUAAUUUGUUGCAUUAAUAAUAGUAGCUUUAUGAUAGCCAUCCAUUAAGACAAUUAGGAAUCACUAAUUUCUUUUUCCUUAUACUACUCUCUGCCCCUGCCCCCCGCCCCAUUUUUCUUUGCUAUUAAAAAUGGGAAAAGUUGCUGAGAAGUAGAGGAAAGGAGAUGGUUUAUUUUAGGAGAGCCCUUGUAAACUCAAUCCAGAUGGUGAAUCACUUACCUGUGUAUCCACCAACAAUGUAUUUUAUCAUGUCCCAGUGUUUUUGGAACAAAUUUACUAAAGUAGAAUUUAAAAAGAAUACCAGGCCAGGUGCAGUGGCUCAGGCCUGUAGUCCCAGCACUUUGGGGAGGCUGAGGGCAGGUGCAUCACAAGGUCAGGAGUUCGAGACCAGCCUGGCCCACAUAGUGAAACCCCGUCUCUACUAAAAUUACAAAAAUUAGCCAGGCAUGGUGAUAUGCGCCUACAGUCCCAGCUACUUGGGAGGCUGAGGCAGGAGAAUCGCUUGACCUGGGAGGUGCAGGUUGUGGUGAGCCGAGGUUGCGCCACUGCACUCCAGCCUGAGGAACAGAGAGAGACUCCGUCUCAAAAAAAAAAAAAAAAAACCUUAGUUGGGUGCAGAGGCAUGUACUUGUGUUCUCAGCUACUGGGAAAGCUGAGGUGGGAGGAUCUCUUCCACCCAGAAGUUUGAAACCAGCCUGGGCAACGUAGUGAGACCUCCAUCUUAAAAAAUAAUUAAAAAUACAAUGAAGAGAAUACCUCCAUGUUCAACUUUAUGUUCUUCUGGAUGUAUGAUAAUGCGGGAAUUUUAAGGGGUAGUAGUUACUCAUUGAAGCUUUGUUGCCAUUUAAGUUUUUACCUUUGCUGUGGGAAUGGUACUCUUAGAACAUGCACAUUAUUUUGAAAAGGAAGUAUAAACUAGUGAAUAUCAAAGGGGAAAAAUUUUGUUAACCAUUUAUAUUAUGAGCUUGAAGGUUAUAUGUGAAAUACAGAAAAGAUCUAGGUUUGUCUGAUUAUGGAAUUCUAGAUCAAAACAUGUCUUCCAUGUCUGCAGUAAUUCACAAGUUACUGGAAAGGAACAUGUAGAGGGUUUUGAUAUCUAAACCCUACCCAGUUUUCUGUAGGAUCUUGAUUUUAUUUUAAUGCAAGACUGCUGACCCCAUGAUCCUGUGUGUUCUUCAGAGAUACUCUUACUGAUGAUGUAUAAAUGAACUUUGAUUCAGUAAGGUCAGUUUGUAGGUCUCAAAGUACUUUGGUUAUUGUGGUACAUCAGAAUGAUAGCUAGUAUUUACUGAGAUCUUUCUAUAUGUCAGGUAAUAAAAAUCCUAUAAAAGUAUUCUUUCUACAGCCACAGGAGGUAGGUACUAUUUUUAUUUUACAGAUGAAGAACUGUGGAUUUUGUUUCUAAGAAAAUUUCCAGGCUCACAGAACUAAGCCUAAUUUCUUUUUAUUUUUUAGCAAAUACAGUUUUUAUAAGAAUUUGAAUUCUAUGAAAAUAAAUGGAUUACUCCUAAAUCUCUGAUGCCUCAGUGAACACUUUUUCCUUAUUAACAAAAUUCUCACUUUUGGCUUUGGAUUGGCUUUGCAGGAGUGCAGAUUGAUCAUAGCUUUUUUCAUGUCCUAAGAGUUGUCAGAGUUUUCUCUUGUAGCAUUUUUUUCUUUACUUUUUUUUUUUACUAUCUUUAAAUAUAUGACUGUAAGAGUAUGAUAAAUAUGCUGUUUUCUAAUCUCUGCUGUUGUCACAUAAACUAAUAUAUUUUGAGUAAUUUUGAAAUGAUAUUAAUAAUGUCAUUAGAUUUUCUUUGGAUUUUUUGAAAAAAAUAAUGGUUUUAGAAGGAAAUCUGGAUAAAUUUUAUCUCUGUCCUGUGUCAGAAAAAUAUAAAACUUGAGUUUUUUAAAUUAAGGUACUAAGAUAAAUAAAUUGCAUCUAUAGAUAUUGAAAUAUGACUGUAAUUUGAUAAUGCAUUUUCAUUCUCAGUGUCAUUGUUCAUCAUAAUAGUAUUUACAUCACCAACUUCAUUUAGAGCUUGAAUCUUGUAACAAUAGAGAUUGAAAAUAAAUUGGUUUAUAAUUAACUCUGACAGAGAAUGAUGUUUUUACUUUUAUACUUCUCUAUAGAAGUACAUGUCCCUUAAUUUUAAGGAAUGAACAAGUCAGAUGGAAGAUUUUUACUGAGAUCAGGAAUGAAUUGAGUAAUUUAGUUUUCUUUUUAAAGCUGGGGAGAAAUGAGCAAAAUCAAGGAGAAAUAUCUUGCUUUUGAUAUUUAUUACUGAUGCUGUGACACUCCCUUUAAUCAAUGUUUUUUAAUAUGGGUGGCAGUAUCUCAGUUAACCAAAUAGUUAAGUAAGUAGAUUUUUGUAUUGUAUAUAGUAAACAGUAUCCUAAUUGUUGCCAAGGAGACAAGGAAUUACCUAAUGGGCAAAAAUGCCCUUAUAUUUAUUUACCUCAAAUUCAGUCACACUUGACUGUAUCUCCACAAAUUCAGAUGGAGAGCUGGAAAAUUUAUAGAGAAGACCAGGGUUUAAAUCUUGUUUUUUCAAAUUAUGUUUGGUCAUGAUGAAUCUGAAUCAUUUAUUUAAUGAUAAAAUCAUCUGACUUCUCACUUCUCACUUCUCCCUUCAGUUAAAAUUAUUUAAGUAAUGGAUUUGUUUUUCUAUGAGAGACAUUUGGUAUUUUGGUAAUGAAAGUGUAUUAUUUUAGUUGCAUAUAAUUUGAAAACAGCAUUUUAUGGCAAAUCUAUCAAGCCAGGCAGAUACUUUGCAUUUUUGAUCUUUUUUUUUUUUUUUUUUUUUUGGUGGCUACAUCUUUUCUGUAUUCUCAGAUAUGUCGUUAAAGAUGGUGCCACCUAUAGUGGCCAUUUUCGUUAUCUAAACAAAACCAACAUCUGUUGGAUUGAAAAACUAUGCUAUGAUCGACUGCUUUAUGUGUGUAUGUUUUUUUUUUUUUUCAAAUCCCUUAAGAUUCUUUUCUAUAAUUAGUUUUCUUUGAAGAAGCUUGGAAAGUUUUCUGCAUUGAGAUUUAGAAUCCACAGUGUUUCUGUAAUUUAGCUUUCCAGGAAUUUUGAAUUUUAAUUUUUGUUUUUACUUUUUAUGUACACAGUAUAAUGAUGUUAGUGUUAAAUAUUAAAAAUCUGACUCUUCACUGGGACUUUUUUAUAGAUACAAAUGUAUCUGUGGUAGUACAAGGACUUUGUUACUUUGGCGUGCAGUCUUAUCAAGGAGUUGUGUGUGUGUUUUGCAUACAACUUUACAAUUUCAUAGUUGAAAGCUGUUACAAAAUGAAAGUUUUGUGUAUGGUAGGAUAUCUUCAAGGUGGGUGGAUGUUUUCUGUUUAAAAGAUUAAGAUGCCAACAGCGUUUUUUUCUUUUAAUUUUUUCAUCAAGCACCCAGUCAGCUUGAAGAGUUUCAAAUGGACCCUACCACUGAGAAAUCAAGAUGGCAGUCUACUAUGGGGAAUUGAGGAAAAAUGGAUUAAUACAAGAGUCCUGUGAUAAUAUACAACCAAGACAGGGUUCUUUUAACAUGGAUUCCAUGCAGUGAAUGAAGACAUAGGUUUCUUACCCAACACAAAUGGACAGUGGAUUUGACUUUCUAAAGACUUUUUUUGUGGACAUUUUGACAUUUGGAGAAGAAAGAUGGCACACUAACCCAGAUAAUAGUUUUUAUGCCUGGAAUUUUUUGCAGUUUGAUUUGUAUGCGUAUGACCUCUUGAAAUGUUAAUUUUUAAUAAAAUUUGUAACACUUAAAAAUUUCUCAGUUUGGGUUUUUUUUUUUAAGUGGAAGUUUAAUUAAAUGUUUAGUUUUAUUUUAGUAAUACUUUGGCCUUUGUAGUUGCCGAGUGGUAAAGUGUACUGAAUAUGAAUAAAGCUGGUAAAUUGGAAAUGGUGUAAUCGAAAACAUUUUACUUGGUUUAUGAAGAUUUACGUUUUUCACAAAGUUGUGCUCUUAGAUGGUCAUUUGGUUUAAAUACUGUUUUGUUUGUGCUUUCAUGAAACACCUUUCAAAACAACUCAAUGGGUAAUAAUAGAAUCUGAUUUUAAUCUGCCACAAGAUUUUAAUGAACUUGAAACAAACUGCUUGUUGCUCGAAAAUUCAGGAUGAGUGAUACACAUAUACUUCUGAAUUAUUUUGUGUUGAUUGAAAUGGUUUCUUAAGCUUUUUAAUACUAUAAAUACAUCUUGCUAUAGAAUAUUCAUCUGAAUAUUUAAAUUAAUGUCUCCUAUUGUCUUACUAUUAGAGGAAGAAGUGUUGGAUUUAUGGGUUAGGGUCCUUGGAGUAUUCACAAUUUUUUAAAUUUGAAAUUAUGUGUGUAAUCCAUUUUAUAUAACUUUGAAGUAGGAUUAAUAUCUUGUAUCGUCUUUAUUUUGUACAAUUGGGGAUUUAGAAUAAAUGAAUUGCACCCUGCCAUAGAUUACUUACGUUUGAUUUUUAAAUGCCAGGUUUUCAUUUAUUACUAAUCAACUGAUACCAGUUUUGGUAACUAUUACAAAGGUGGUAGGCAUUAUUUUGGUAGACAAAAUGAGUUCUUGAUUCUGUUUUCCCAUUUUACAUGAGAAGAAUAAAUAGUUCAGGUUAAAUUGUUUUGUGUUAAUCAUACUGUUUGUGAUUCAUGUCAAAUACUGCAGCAUACACAUCCAUGGUUAAUACACGAGCACCAUUUGUUAUUGACUGAUGUGAGGUGGUUGGUCUUUGUUAAAUUCAAAAAUGGAAUUUUGGAUAUUGUUCUUGCUACGAAAUUUAUCUUUGUGUGUAGAGUAUGGAAUUGAAACAGUUUGGAUUAUGGAUUUUACCUAGAUUGGACAUUGUUGAUUUUGUUUGGUGUAAAUCUAAAGUGGAUUUCUUCAGUGAGGGAGAGACAUGGUUCUGGCAGAUUAUGUUGAAUAAGGAAAGUUGAUUGGAUUUUUUUGGGUGUGUGAAUAUGCUUGUCUGAAUGGAGUGCUUGGUAGGAUAUUGUUUCUGGAAUUAGUAAUUUGUUUCUGUGGAUCUCAUGGUUUUGAUAUUUAGGAGAAUUUGCUUUGUGACAUUACUUUGAUAAUUUGCAAUCACGUAUGUCCUAUUGUUAAUAACAUUGUUGAAAUGGGUGUAUACUUACUUGAUUUGAAAUAUAAGGGAAGUGUUGGGAUAUGUGUUUUCUGUUGGAUUUGGACGUGGAGUUUCUUGGGUUACUGAUUUAAAGGUGAUCGUGUUUGGACCAUACUCUUGAAUUUUUGCCUGAAUCAGUAUGGGAAGUAAAUAUAUUGUGAUUAUGAGAAGUUUCUUUGGGGGGAGGAGUGUAAUAUUUUCAAGGUUAUAUAAUGGGUUAAAGAAUUUUGUGAAAGAACAAAGAAAAAUGGAUAUUCUUGAAUAAAAAUUGGUUGCAUUAACUUUUGCUCCAGUGCAACUUGAACACUAGGGAGGCGCUCUUGAGUUGUAAAAGUUACCCCUUUCUUCCAGUGGAGAUGGAAAAUUCCCCCUUAAAUUUUGUCUUUAGAUUAUUUUUAGGCAUCAUAAAGAAGGAAAAACUUGAAUUUAUAUUAUGAAAUUAAGGUUUUACUUUUAUUUAGCAAUCAUUUCACCCAUUGGGGGAUUAAUUUUUAAAAAGAUUAGUACUUAGCUGAGCUUUAGAUUCUCUAAGAAUUAUCCCUUUUUCAAAAUGGCUUGAUAAAACACCACUUCCUGUCCAGGGAGGAAGUUAUUUUAGCUCAAGGACUGAAAUAUUUAGCAGAUCUUUAGACAAAAGGAACAAAUUACAUUUCUCUCUGGCUUAAAAAGGGUGCUUGAGCCAGAGGGGGUUAAGAAGCCCUCCCCCCUCCCCCUGUUGGGGUGGUCUGGAGGGGCAGGGAGGUGUGGGGGUGGGGGUCCUUAGGCUCCCUGGGAUGGAGGAUCUGUCUCUCUCUCUCUCUCUCCU